rnacentral:rRNA from 1 species
CGAUAGAGGGGGAUAACUACUGGAAACGGUGGCUAAUACCGCAUAAUGUCUACGGACCAAAGCAGGGGCUCUUCGGACCUUGCACUAUCGGAUGAACCCAUAUGGGAUUAGCUAGUAGGUGGGGUAAAGGCUCACCUAGGCGACGAUCUCUAGCUGGUCUGAGAGGAUGAUCAGCCACACUGGGACUGAGACACGGCCCAG